AGAAUCAACGCUGGCGGCGUGCCUAACACAUGCAAGUCGAACGAGAAAGUGGAGCAAUCCAUGAGUAAAGUGGCGCACGGGUGAGUAACACGUGACUAACCUACCUUUUAGUGGGGGAUAACCUAGGGAAACCUGGGCUAAGUACCGCAUAAUACCUACGGGUCAAAGCAGCAAUGCGCUGGAAAGAGGGGUCGCGGCCGAUUAGCUAGUUGGCGGGGUAAUGGCCCACCAAGGCAGUGAUCGGUA
rnacentral:rRNA from 1 species